rnacentral:rRNA from 1 species
GAAUUGACGGGGGCCCGCACAAGCGGUGGAGCAUGUGGUUUAAUUCGAAGCAACGCGAAGAACCUUACCAGGUCUUGACAUCCUUUGACCACUCUGGAGACAGAGCUUUCCCUGCGGGGACAAAGUGACAGGUGGUGCAUGGUUGUCGUCAGCUCGUGUCGUGAGAUGUUGGGUUAAGUCCCGCAACGAGCGCAACCCUUGAUUUUAGUUGCCAGCAUUUAGUUGGGCACUCUAAAGUGAC